AAUCCAUGAUGAAGGCACAAUCUCACCAUCUUGUUUAAGCGCUCCCGAGAUUCAUAGAGAGAUUCUCUCAUCAUUUUGAGAAAAACUUGUGAUUUGAUUUCUCAAUU